AAGAGUCAGCCAGUCCACAGUCAGCCUCUCCUGACGGGAUUCCUCCACGCUGGGCACUGCGGGCCACGUGAAGAGUCGGAGAUACUUCUGCCUCAUGGAAUCAAAGGAAGAGCUCUCAACUCUAUCAAAAAUCAGAUUGCUCCCGGAGUUAUGCUGGUGACCACAUAAACACUUGGAUCCUUGCUGGCUUUGUGGAGGUCGCAACCUAAACUGGACAUGUGGAUGUUGAGUGACAGAGGACAGACAGAUCAAAGAAACUCCAACCCCACGGGACCAAGACACCAGCCCACAAGUGGACCCUGAAGAACUCGCAUCAGCCACGAGAUUAGGGCCGCUACAGUCUCUUACUCCGGAGACAGAUCCAGUCCCUGACUCCCACAGCUGCUGUGGAUGGAGAAACUGAGACGGGACCAGAAGAAAUGCUCCCGUCUCCUCUCAUGAGAGCCCCACAGACCCCCAGCCCCUUCCCAGGAUCACACUUUCCAGGCUGAUGUGAAGAACCUGGGAAGGGAAGGGUCAUUAGGCCCAAGACUGGGGCCGGGAGCAGCAAUGCUCUCCACGAUCUCCUUAUCAGUGCAUGUAAACCCAAAUGUGAGGCUUCUAUUUUGGUGCCAUGGAAGACCCCCAGCACCUGCUGCUCACCCUCCUCCUCUUCGGUACCAUCUUUACCAAGACAGAGUUGUUUGGACAGCCUCGACCCUCAGGACAGGGCUAAGGAGUUUGGGUGGGAGAGCAGAAGAGAAAGACACUUCCUUAGUGCUUCCUGCAAACCCUGCCAGGCUAGAGGUGCCACGAUCUGGGCCCUGUAACAGACCUACUGGAUUAGCGGGGCAUAUGUGAGGGCCCUGGAUUCAUUGAAGCUGAUAGAUAAGGCUGUGGCCAGUAUACAGUGGACACAGAGCAUCUACUACAUGCCUGGCAUGGGCCUGACUAGCUGGAGGAGACCCAGAGAGGUACACAUUACAAAUACUGGAGACCGAACCCUAUGUAAUCUUACCCUCACUCCCGUUCAAACCUGUGAUCAUAUGUGGACUUCCAACACACGAGCUAGAUGGAAGAAAGAACUUCCCUGAACCUGGGUUGUCAACACUGUUCAGUAAACUCAUCAGAAGACCUUUCCUCUUGGAAGGUGGUGAACCAGGAGGCCCCCAUCUUGAUGGGCCAGGAUCAGGUCACGACAGGCCAGCCUGACAGACCACCCUCCCCGGGUCUGUCUGCACCACCAUCUCUCUGGCUGGGUACCAGGCUGGAAGAAGAGACCUUGUCUGUCGGAACAUCCUCUCUGGGUAAGUUUCUGUCUGUCUCCUCCUGCCUCUGACUCUCUCUCUUUCUCUGAGUCUUCAUGCAUCUUUCCAUCUUCAUCUUUCUGUCCCUCUCUUGCCUGGCCUUCUCCCUCCCCGCUGUUCCUUUCUCUUCUUCCACUCCCUGCCCCCCAUCACUAGAGGUGUCAAUGGCACAGUUUCCCUUCCCUCCAGCCCCCAUCUCUGCCCUCCCUCUGGCUGCAGGCCUACGGCCUAUUCUCUCCCGGGCCCCGCAGGUUUGGAUUUGGAUGGGGAAACCAGGAAGGUGGUCUGAAAAGUGACUUUUUGGCUACAAAAAGUUCUUUUUCUCCCUCUCUGCCCACCCGGCCCCCAGCCCUUCCUUCUCGAAGUGCCAGAGGCAGCUUGGAUGGAGCGCUAUGCUCUGCAGACUAAGGCAGGUUUAAACAGACCUGCAUCCCCAGGUCACCAGCUGGCUGUGGGGUUAUCAGAGGCACCAUCUCCCCACACCCCUGCCAGGCCCUGCGUGGAGGGCCCUGGGGCUGUGCUUAUGAAGCUGGCUGCCAAGCGGACGACCUGGAUCAGAGCUCGGGGUAGUCAUAUAUGACAAUUGGUUGAAAUAUCACAGCCGCUCUCCCCCCACCCCCAUUGGUGAUCUAUGGGCUGCGUGCCCUGUAAAAAUUAUUUAUCGGGGCCUCAGAGUGUCCUGAUUUAGUGCUGCUGCCUCUGGGGCCGAGGGGCCUGCCUGUCCGCCAGAGCCUAAGCGUUAAACGACGCUAAAAAGUUAAACGGCCAACGUUGGGGGCUCACUCGAGGAGGCGCCAUAAAGCUGUCGGAGCUGCUUAAAUCAGGAGCGAGGAUUCCCCGGGACAUCUUCUCACCAUAUGCCGCAAGCCAAGAAGGCUCUCCUCACCCCUCUGUGCUCACCCCAACCCAGCCGCCCACAUGGGCCAGGGGCCACGUGGGCCAGACCUGGGGUCCCGCGCAGAGCGGGUCAAGAUGCAGUUCUUAAGGACUUGCAGUGAAAGGCCACACGACAGCCCCUUCCAGGGGCCCGUGUCGGGGCAGCGCUUUCCUGGUGCCUCACUGACAACUGUUCCGUGGGUCGGACCCACUGGAAUCAGUGUCUUCCUGCUUGGGCUGGAAGCAGGUGUUCUGUCCCAGCCAGAUGGGGACCUCGGGUCGGCCCUCUGCCCCCACCUCCCCCCAUUCACAGCAAGAACAGAACUCCACACUGUGAUCCCUGCCCUCCGCCAGGCACCCCUGGGUGCCAGGCUGACACUCAAGGCUCACAGGUAGUCUUCCCGGCCGAAGCCCAGUCCAU